rnacentral:rRNA from 1 species
UACGUAGGGGGCGAGCGUUGUCCGGAUUUAUUGGGCGUAAAGAGCUCGUAGGCGGUUUGGUAAGUUGGAUGUGAAAUCUCCAGGCUCAACUUGGAGGGGUCAUUCGAUUCUGCCAUGACUAGAGUUCGGUAGGGGAGUGUGGAAUUCCUGGUGGAGCGGUGAAAUGCGCAGAUAUCAGGAGGAACACCCGUAGCGAAGGCGGCACUCUGGGCCGGAACUGACGCUGAGGAGCGAAAGCGUGGGGAGCGAACAGG